rnacentral:rRNA from 1 species
UACGAAGGGGGCUAGCGUUGCUCGGAAUCACUGGGCGUAAAGCGCACGUAGGCGGCUUUCUAAGUCAGGGGUGAAAUCCUGGAGCUCAACUCCAGAACUGCCUUUGAUACUGGAGAGCUUGAGUCCGGAAGAGGUGAGUGGAACUCCGAGUGUAGAGGUGAAAUUCGUAGAUAUUCGGAAGAACACCAGCGGCGAAGGCGGCUCACUGGUCCGGUACUGACGCUGAGGUGCGAAAGCGUGGGGAGCAAACAGG